GAGAGAUUAGUUAAUUAAACAUAACGUGAGCCUGUCAUGCUUAAAUAAUCAAUAUUAUUGAUAUCUCUCA
rnacentral:tRNA from 1 species